rnacentral:rRNA from 1 species
AGUGAACGCUGGCGGCGUGCCUAACACAUGCAAGUCGAAGGAAGUGGCGCACGGGUGAGUAAUAUAUAUCUGCUCUGCCCCUUGCUAGAGGACAACAGUUAGAAAUCAAUGCUAAUACUCCAUAGGAAGGGAUGAGACUCUAUCGUAUCAGCUAGUCGGUGGGGGAACGGCCUACCCAGGCUAUGACGCGUAACUGGUCUGAGAGGAUGAUCAGUCGACUUUGAAGUGAGACACGGUCCAGAAUCCUACGGCAGGGAGCAGUAGGGUAUAUUACGCAAUGGGGGAAACCCUGAAGCAGCGUCGGCGCGUGGAGGAUGACACGUUGCGGGGCGUAAACGCCUUUUGAUACGGAAGCGUUACCUAAAGAAUAAGCACCGGCUAACUCCGUGCCAGCAGCCGCGGUAAUUC